AUGCACCUGCUGCCUUUGUUGGUCUGUUCAUCAUUGGGUGGUAACAGUGUCGGAAAACAACUCAUAUGCGUGUCCAAAAGGAGGAGCUUGUGUACAUUCUGGUGUGUAUUGAAAAUGUCUCCUAGAUUCAAACAAGAAAAGUUUGUGAAAAUGGUUCCAGGGCUUGAGGGAACUGAUGAGGAUUUAUGUGAUCUUGUUCAUGAUUUACCAAGCCCGGUAUCAAUGGGAAAUGGUAAUGUGCAUUUUUUUGUCAAUUUGGUCCCUCCACUAUUGAUUAAGCUUUGUUUUAUCCCCAGUUUUCAAAACAAAUAA
rnacentral:rRNA from 1 species